GGCAGCUCUGACAUGGCAGUGGAACAAUGCUCAAUUCUGAUUAGCUCUAGUUUUCCAGGCGGGGAGGCACAAGAGGCUCGGAAAUCUGGCUGUAAAAACAAGUUAUGACAGGGAAAAUUCAAAUGCUUUAUACUGGAGAUCCAGGCAGUUGGAUGCUGACAGAACAAACAAGGUCCUUUUUACAGGCUCUUCUACACACACUCCUGGAAGACAGAUUCAGCUGCAUGUUUAAGAUGUGUAAUACAUAUAAUCUAAGGGAACGGGGCUCCAGAGGUACAGAUUCUCUGGCAGUGCAGCAGAUGUUUCCCAGGUUUAAACACAUGGAAGGAAAGCCUGGCCCAACUGCAGGGGAGGUGGUUGCUCCUCAGAUGUGCUUUUACCUGGAAUGACCUUAGGGAAGGAAAAGAGGACACCUGUUUUACAGUUAGAUAGUCAGCAUUGCAAUUUGGCAAAUCCACUGAUUCCUGGGAGGUCUGUAUUGCCCAGAUCCUCCAAACUUUUGUUUUAGAGAAACCAGAUCUGAUGCUUUAUGGCAUGCAAUAAAAGAAACAGUCAGCACA
rnacentral:lncRNA from 14 species